AGAGUUUGAUUCUGGCUCAGAACGAACGCUGGCGGCGUGGAUAAGACAUGCAAGUCGAACGAGAGAAUUGCUAGCUUGCUAAUAAUUCUCUAGUGGCGCACGGGUGAGUAACACGUGAGUAACCUGCCCCCAAGAGUGGGAUAGCCCCGGGAAACUGGGAUUAAUACCGCAUAAAAUCGCAAGAUUAAAGCAGCAAUGCGCUUGGGGAUGGGCUCGCGUCCUAUUAGUUAGUUGGUGAGGUAACGGCUCACCAAGGCGAUGACGGGUAGCCGGUCUGAGAGGAUGUCCGGCCACACUGGAACUGAGACACGGUCCAGACACCUACGGGUGGCAGCAGUCGAGAAUCAUUCACAAUGGGGGAAACCCUGAUGGUGCGACGCCGCGUGGGGGAAUGAAGGUCUUCGGAUUGUAAACCCCUGUCAUGUGGGAGCAAAUUAAAAAGAUAGUACCACAAGAGGAAGAGACGGCUAACUCUGUGCCAGCAGCCGCGGUAAUACAGAGGUCUCAAGCGUUGUUCGGAAUCACUGGGCGUAAAGCGUGCGUAGGCGGUUUCGUAAGUCGUGUGUGAAAGGCGGGGGCUCAACCCCCGGACUGCACAUGAUACUGCGAGACUAGAGUAAUGGAGGGGGAACCGGAAUUCUCGGUGUAGCAGUGAAAUGCGUAGAUAUCGAGAGGAACACUCGUGGCGAAGGCGGGUUCCUGGACAUUAACUGACGCUGAGGCACGAAGGCCAGGGGAGCGAAAGGGAUUAGAUACCCCUGUAGUCCUGGCAGUAAACGGUGCACGCUUGGUGUGCGGGGAAUCGACCCCCUGCGUGCCGGAGCUAACGCGUUAAGCGUGCCGCCUGGGGAGUACGGUCGCAAGAUUAAAACUCAAAGAAAUUGACGGGGACCCGCACAAGCGGUGGAGUAUGUGGUUUAAUUCGAUGCAACGCGAAGAACCUUA
rnacentral:rRNA from 2 species